UCCAAAUCGUUCCUUGGGCCCGAGACUCC
rnacentral:piRNA from 1 species